UACGUAGGGGGCAAGCGUUGUCCGGAUUUAUUGGGCGUAAAGCGCGUGUAGGCGGCUGGGUAGGUCCGCUGUGAAAACUCGAGGCUCAACCUCGAGACGUCGGUUGAAGCCGUAUGGCUAGAGUCCGGAAGAGGAGAGUGGAAUUCCCGGUGUAGCGGUGAAAUGCGCAGAUAUCGGGAAGAACACCCGUGGCGAAGGCGGCUCUCUGGGACGGUACUGACGCUGAGACGCGAAAAGCGUGGGGGAGCGAACAGG
rnacentral:rRNA from 1 species